AGUGAACGCUGGCGGUAGGCCUAACACAUGCAAGUCGAACGGCAGCACAGGAGAGCUUGCUCUCUGGGUGGCGAGUGGCGGACGGGUGAGGAAUACAUCGGAAUCUACUCUGUCGUGGGGGAUAACGUAGGGAAACUUACGCUAAUACCGCAUACGACCUACGGGUGAAAGCAGGGGAUCUUCGGACCUUGCGCGAUUGAAUGAGCCGAUGUCGGAUUAGCUAGUUGGCGGGGUAAAGGCCCACCAAGGCGACGAUCCGUAGCUGGUCUGAGAGGAUGAUCAGCCACACUGGAACUGAGACACGGUCCAGACUCCUACGGGAGGCAGCAGUAAGGAAUAUUGGGCAAUGGACGAAAGUCUGACCCAGCCAUGCCGCGUGAAGGAUUAAGGUCCUCUGGAUUGUAAACUUCUUUUCUCUGGGGCGAAAACCAGCUAUUCUUAGCUAUUUGACAGUACCAGAGGAAUAAGCACCGGCUAACUCCGUGCCAGCAGCCGCCGUAA
rnacentral:rRNA from 1 species